rnacentral:rRNA from 1 species
GACGAACGCUGGCGGCGCGCCUAACACAUGCAAGUCGAACGGAGCUGAGAGAAGCUUGCUUUUCUUAGCUUAGUGGCGAACGGGUGAGUAACGCGUGAGUAACCUGCCCUGGAGUGGGGGACAACAGUUGGAAACGACUGCUAAUACCGCAUAAGCCCACGAUCCGGCAUCGGAUUGAGGGAAAAGGAUUUAUUCGCUUCAGGAUGGACUCGCGUCCAAUUAGCUAGUUGGUGAGGUAACGGCCCACCAAGGCGACGAUUGGUAGCCGGACUGAGAGGUUGAACGGCCACAUUGGGACUGAGACACGGCCCAGACUCCUACGGGAGGCAGCAGUGGGGGAUAUUGCACAAUGGGGGAAACCCUGAUGCAGCGACGCCGCGUGGAGGAAGAAGGUUUUAGGAUUGUAAACUCCUGUCGUGAGGGACGAUAAUGACGGUACCUAACAAGAAAGCACCGGCUAACUACGUG